GACGAACGCUGGCGGCGUGCCUAACACAUGCAAGUCGAGCGGAGAUUGCAGCAAUGUAAUCUUAGCGGCGGACGGGUGAGUAACGCGUGGGCAACCUACCUUUAUCUGGGGGAUAACACAGGGAAACUUGUGCUAAUACCGCAUAACAUCAUGAAGAGACAUCUCUUUAUGAUCAAAGGAGUAAUCCGGAUAGAGAUGGGCCCGCGUCCGAUUAGCUAGUUGGUGGUGUAACGGACCACCAAGGCGACGAUCGGUAGCCGAACUGAGAGGUUGAUCGGCCACAUUGGGACUGAGACACGGCCCAGACUCCUACGGGAGGCAGCAGUGGGGAAUAUUGCGCAAUGGGGGAAACCCUGACGCAGCAACGCCGCGUGAAGGAUGAAGGUUUUCGGAUCGUAAACUUCUUUGAUGAGGGACGAAUAAAUGACGGUACCUCAAAAACAAGCCACGGCUAACUACGUGCCAGCCGCCGCAGUAACAC
rnacentral:rRNA from 1 species